AGAGAUCCUUCCUUGAUAAAGCUUUCCCCCACAAACCUGAAAUUUUCUGAUAUAGGGAGCAGACUACUCUGUCUAGAGCUGCUAAGCCUCUCAAUGAUCAUGGUUUAGAUCCAGCUGCUGCAGCCCUGGGCCCACGUCACGUUCAGACAAGCAUUCUUCUCUUAACAACUCACGAAGCUUCAGGAUUAAGCGAUUUUAAGCUCUACAGUGAAUCCCUCUACUGCCCAAACCAGAUUGGUCUGGAUGAGAGGGACAUGCAAGGAAGACACAGACAGAAAUCCUCAUCCAAAAGAUGCUAUUGAAGCUGACCUACUUUGAAGACAGGGCAGGAGAUGGUAAGAGCAAAUCUGCUCAGCAGACCUCUUUCUUCACACCUUAUCAUAGUGACUGCCAUCAGACAGAACACCCACAGAGAUUUCCAGAGUCUAAUCUCAGUAAUAACCCCUGUCCUGCAGCCAACACUGUGUGCCAUCACAGGGAAACAGUGUGCUCUGUGCAUCUCAGCCUCGCAGGCAGCCAACUUUAGAGAGCCUUGUCCAGCUCCUUGCCCCUUUUCUGUCUAUCCAUCCACCUGCCUGUUCCCCCUGGGUACCUGGCAGGUGCCAGAGCACUGCUGCCUCCAGCACUGACCGACCCUGGCAAGCUGAGUGGUGGAUGUUCUCCUUAAUGCCGCUUUUCUCCUGUUCUUGAAGGCUGUGAUUGAGACGAGGCUUGCCAGAGAAGCCUGGAUUUUGCUCGGAUCAUGUAACUGUGUGGGGGCUGGGGCAGAAACAAGCAUUUAAGCACACAAGUCUUUCCUUAGGUCUGAUACAGGAGGAUUAAUCUGGCUAUGGAGCUACAGAGCUGGAUUUCACAUGACAGGGAGAAAAUCUCCUGGAGCAAAUGCACAGAGAAUCAUAGAACCAUUAGUGUUGGAAAAAACUGCUAAGAUCACCUAGUCCAACUAUCAACCCAUGCCCACCAUGCCCACUAAUCCUCUUGACCUCAGGCCCCUUUGCUGCUGACCUGGUGGUUGCUGGAUGAUGCUCCAGCCCCGGGGGUCUGAAUGUCCCCAGAUGUGCCCUUAUCCACAGGCAAAAAUAACAAGCAGGCAGCUAUCUCACUGGCUCCAGCUGGGAUGGCUCCCCUUGCUCUUCACUUUGAUGUUCUGGUACUGGCCCAGCCCUGCUUUCCCUGGGACUCAAGCCCCCAGAAAGCAGUCAGGAAUCUUAUCAAUUUGCUAUUACUAUUUUUUUUUUCCCCUUCCCCUUUGAAUUCCUGUCAACUGCUUACUGUGAAAACACAACAAAUCAGUCAGCCCUCAAACUGGCACCAGUUUGUUUUGUUUGGGGCUAAAGUCAGAGUGAGAGAGCCGGCGCUUUGAGAUGCUAUUGAGGUCACCUGGCAAAAUAUAUGUGUCUUUCAUCUCCUGGUCCCUGCAGCUGGCCAGGCAUGCUGCCCAGCUGGGCUCCCACCCUUCUCCUUUUUAUCAGUGUGGAUCCCUGGCUAUGCCUGGGGACAGGCACUUAGCAAGGACCAUAUGACAGCAGGGGAAGUCCCAAGGAGCAGAUGUUUCUCUUUCUAAAUGCAUGGGGUUCUGGGAGAGAACCUUGGACAAGGUAUCAAAUACCUCUCAGGCUCUUAAAAUCAAUGAUGGAAGCAGCUCUUCUUGAUGGUGGUGGUGAGCUGUCAGUAAAUCCUUAACCCCUGGCAGUUAGAAAAAGGAACUGAAUGUGGUAGUGCAGAGUGUGGCACUGGGCUCAAAGGGACCUGCAAUAUAUAUCCUAUGGGAAAACUUGAAAUGCUUGUUCAGCAUCACCUACAGCUUUUUCUUUUUUCCUGGUUUGGCUCCUUGUCUGAAAGGCAGUCUCUGAACCAGACCAAGCUGAUGGUUCUCUGAUAACCCCUCAUGGUAAUGUUAAAUCUAUGGGUUUUGUGAUGGGAUUUGCCCCUCUGCUUGAUCCCUGAAUUAAAACCAGGUACAAUAACUACGUAUGGUUAGCAGCCUCUAUUCAACUGGUGAGUCAAGGGGACAUAUAUCUGGGCAGGAGAUGCCACCUCUGGAUAAUGUUUUGGCAGGAGGAUUAGAGGAAUGCUGACGUAGAGAUGGACUCUACUGGAGGAAGAGCCCAUUCCUGUGCUAAGAAGCCACGUCCCCACGUAUGUAUCCUGAAGGUACCCAGUGGUUUGCAAUCCAAACAGAUCCCUUAACCCAGAAACUCUCACCCUUCAUGCUGCUGGGGAGGUUUGCAAAGGGCCUGUUCUUGCAUUCAAUUAAUCCUUCUAAUUUAGGAAGAGCUUAGUUUUCAAAGCAUGCCCUGAGACCUUGAAGUGUUCUCAAAAUUCCUGACCUGUCUGCAGGGCUAUUCUAGGUUCCCACUCAGGGUGCAAUCCCAUGCAGUCUUCUAUUGCUCUCAGACCUCACUGCCGGCAUCCUAACCAUGCCCUAAGAAAGUGCGUCUGCUGCUGGGCAUCUCACCUGGAGAUUAAAAAACAAACCCACAGGAGAAUGUUUGUGCUUCCCACCAGUCUCUUCUGGAAAUCAGCAUGGAGCACAAAUGACAGCAGGAUGAUCCAGCCAGUCUUUCAUCCCUAACGAGAGGCUCCUAAUGAGAACCUCCUCCCUGCACCGUGGAGCUGUGCCAUUGUCUGUCCCUAUAGUGCUGUGAUAGGAUCAUUUAGCACGUGAAAAGCACCUCUUGUAUGGGGAUACAUGCAUACUACAGUUCAGCUGGGGUGAGCAACCGGCUCCUGCCAAGCCUUGGUGUGAGCCAGAAAGGUCAAAAGUUCUCCUUUACAAUCCACAAGAAAGGGGAAGGCAGGGGAUGGUCACUUAAUUUGUGGGUUUUUCCCUCUACUUGUCAAAAUGAGUUUGAGCUGCGCUGAUGGAUGAGUCAUCAAUUAAGGAGGAGCUCUUGCUCUUUUGUCUUGGUUCCUAAAAGACUGAAUUCAAACCCUGGAAGAGUCGAUGGGAGUCCAUCCACCUAUGCAAGAGGAUCUUGAAUUGGGACUGUGAAGGCUUUGGAGAGACUGGGUUAGCAGUUUGCCUUUCUCCACGCUCAGUGUUAUGCCUCUUGGCUCCCUGGUUGCUACUGGUUUGGAGCAGGGUAUUUCUAUACCUGAGUCUUGCUAACAUUCCCUAUCAAUUUGCUUCCCUGGUCCCAUUCUGUGCAGCUGCUUUGACGUGCAAUA